AACCCUUUUGUUUCUCUCCUUCCACACAACCUAGAAAAUAGUAAGCAGGACAACUCCGCUUGUUUCCUCUUACACCCAAACCUUUCCAAACCCAAAUUUCAUCUCUCACCGAGCCAGCAAGCACUCAACUAAUACCAAGCAUAAGCCAUGAUCCAAAGUCUAUAAACCACUAGACACCAUAGAAGCUGAUGAUUACAAUUUUCCUCUGUCCCGCUUACAUAAGAAGCAUGCAUUCACCAAAAUUUUGCCUCUUUUUUGGAGUUUGUCAAUAGUAAGAAUACAGCUCCUACUAGCCUCCCAUGCAAAGAACAAAAUGCGAGGUGGGACCUUUGUCUUACAGAUCUGCCUAUAUGGGAUAUUUCAACUAGAACCAUUAUGCUUAGCAAGCUACCUGUAAAAGGAUUUAACAGUGAACACGCCCUUCUUUG
rnacentral:lncRNA from 1 species